rnacentral:lncRNA from 1 species
UCGACAAAAGAAAUACUGGAUGCACAAUUGAUAAGCUUAUCGGCAAUGCAAGUCUAUAAGCCACCCCCCACUCAGUCAAGAAUCUCAAAUGGGCCAAUGAAUCUAGGGCUAAGCUUUCCCUUCUUCCCAAAUCCCAUCACACCCUUUAUAGGCGUCACUCGGAGAAAUACUUGCUCACCAACCAUAAAAGCCACAUCUCGAACCUUGCAAUCUGCAUAACUCUUUUGCCUGGACUGGGCUGUACGAAGCCUAUCCUGAAUAAUCGUGACCUUUUCCAAGGCCUCUUGAACCAAAUCUGUACCCAACAACCGAGCCAAUCCCGACUCAAACCAUCCAAUCGGAGAUCAACAUCGCCUACUAUAUAAAGCCUCAUAAAGAGACAUCUGGAGACUCGACUGGUAGUUGUUAUUAUAGGCAAACUCCGCUAAAGGCAACAAUUGAUCUCACGAACCUUCAAAGUCAAUGACACAAGCUCGGAGCAUACCGUCCAAUAUCUG